CCUACGGGAGGCAGCAGCCGCGGUAAUAGUCUUACGGGAGGCAGCAGUCGGGAAUUUUGGGCAAUGGGCGCAAGCGUGAACCACCCAUUCCGCCUGGGGGCAGACACCUUUCGGGGUGUAACCCGCUGUCAGAGGGGAAGAAUGAGUCAGGCGUAAAUAACGUCUGGCUGGGAGGGUACCCUCAAAGGAAGCACCGCCUAAGUCCGCGCCAGCAGCCGCGGUAAU
rnacentral:rRNA from 1 species